CACUCAAGGUCACCAUCACAGAGAGAAGGGUUUCCAGCACACCUGCUUAGCCACACAGGUGUCUCCAAUUAUUGUGGCUGAUUAUGCCGGUGCUCAGGUUGAAGGUUUAAGCUAAUGGCAAAGCUUCGUGAACCAAAAUAACUGGGUGUGUCCUGCGAUGUUAAAUUUCCAUUGUGUUAUAGCCAACAUCAGCUGGUCGACUUGUUGGUUGUGCUCCAAGGCGUUCCUCAGGGCUUCCUCAGUGCUGAGCAGCCGUUGGCGCAGACGGGUCACCUCCGAGUCCAGAGCCGAGGGGUCUAGCAUCGAGUACCGCCGGUGGUCAGGGGAGGAUCGUUCCCGACCCUGAAAGAACCGCACAAGCUAACUGGUGGAAGACCCUGCAACAGACUGUCAUUCCAAAGAAACAAAGGUGACGUGACGAAGAGCGGAAAUCAGCCCAUAAGAAAAGGAAAACAGAGAAAUCUAUGCAGGUCCUGGAGAUGACCAAGUGCAUUGCAGAGGAUUUACAGUACAAACAUGUGACAAAGUAUGUGGACAGCAACAGAUUGUUCAACAGUUUGGCUCCCAGUGAAGAUGCUACAAUGACUCUGAGUAUUUUUUUCUCAUUGGUAUUUUUGGAAAACUUAUAACACAUAACUGCAAACAAAGUUUGGAUGUGUGCAUACAGGGUGUAAUUUGUUGGGAUUUACUGCUGCUAAAACGUGCAGCCAGCGAGGAUGAUGUCCUAACUAAUUUGCCAUUAAAUGAAAAACCACAUCUGAUUUCAAUCUGGCCUAUUUCGCUUUCAGUCUCAACUCUUUGGAUAGCGCUGGACCACGUCCAGUGUGGCUGCAAAUUUUAAAAUGCUCUGCUCUAACCACUCAGACGAGCACAUGCUGUAUGUGAAAACGUGUCAAAUCAGCCGCCCAUCAACUUGAGUUUUAUUUUGUGGAAGAGGCGAAGCAGAUUUAGAGAUUAGGACGGAUGAUGCACGAAUUUUGCAUUGGUGUGGGCUGCGUGCAAGAAGACAAUGCAUGAGGUGCGCCUCCCUUCAGGUCGUUUAUGCUGAACGUUCUCCCUCAGACACGUCGGGAAGUUAUAGUAAAACCCUCCAACAAAAUCAAAAGAACAAACACGUCCCGGUCACGUUCCCAACCUGAUGUGAUGCUUUCAGGCUUGGAUACUGCAGAGUGUUCAGCUGAAAACUGCUGCUGGUUGGACCAGGCUGAUCUGUGUAAGAGGUUGAGGUCUAUGGUUAAACUGUACAUGUGUAAAUCCAGGUGACGAGAACGUGACACUAAAAACUCCAGCUGUGCCUAAAGCAACCCAGAAAUGCAAACCUUGAAGGGGUGAUGGGCCAAAUUUAAA